AAUGCAAGUCGAGCGAACAGAAGGGAGCUUGCUCCCGGAUGUUAGCGGCGGACGGGUGAGUAACACGUGGGUAACCUGCCUGUAAGACUGGGAUAACUCCGGGAAACCGGAGCUAAUACCGGAUAGUUCCUUGAACCGCAUGGUUCAAGGAUGAAAGACGGUUUCGGCUGUCACUUACAGAUGGACCCGCGGCGCAUUAGCUAGUUGGUGGGGUAAUGGCUCACCAAGGCGACGAUGCGUAGCCGACCUGAGAGGGUGAUCGGCCACACUGGGACUGAGACACGGCCCAGACUCCUACGGGAGGCAGCAGUAGGGAAUCUUCCGCAAUGGACGAAAGUCUGACGGAGCAACGCCGCGUGAGUGAUGAAGGUUUUCGGAUCGUAAAGCUCUGUUGUUAGGGAAGAACAAGUGCGAGAGUAACUGCUCGCACCUUGACGGUACCUAACCAGAAAGCCACGGCUAACUACGUGCCAGCAGCCGCGGUAAUACGUAGGUGGCAAGCGUUGUCCGGAAUUAUUGGGCGUAAAGGGCUCGCAGGCGGUUUCUUAAGUCUGAUGUGAAAGCCCCCGGCUCAACCGGGGAGGGUCAUUGGAAACUGGGAAACUUGAGUGCAGAAGAGGAGAGUGGAAUUCCACGUGUAGCGGUGAAAUGCGUAGAGAUGUGGAGGAACACCAGUGGCGAAGGCGACUCUCUGGUCUGUAACUGACGCUGAGGAGCGAAAGCGUGGGGAGCGAACAGGAUUAGAUACCCUGGUAGUCCACGCCGUAAACGAUGAGUGCUAAGUGUUAGGGGGUUUCCGCCCCUUAGUGCUGCGGCUAACGCGUUAAGCACUCCGCCGG
rnacentral:rRNA from 1 species